CCUACGGGAGGCAGCAGUGGGGAAUAUUGCACAAUGGGGGAAACCCUGAUGCAGCAACGCCGCGUGAGUGAAGAAGUAUUUCGGUAUGUAAAGCUCUAUCAGCAGGGAAGAAGAUGACGGUACCUGACCAAGCAGCCCCGGCAAACUACGUGCCAGCAGCCGCGGUAGUACGUAGGGGGCAAGCGUUAUCCGGAUUUACUGGGUGUAAAGGGGGCGCAGACGGCAGUGCAAGUCUGGGGUGAAAGCCAGGGGCCAAACCCCGAAACUGCUCUGGAAACUGUGCGGCUGUAGUACUGGGGGGGCAGGCGGAAUGCCUGGUGUAGCGGUGAAAUGCGUAGAUAUUAGGAGGAACACCAGUGGCGAAGGCGGCCGGCUGGACAGUAACUGACGUUGAGGCUCGAAGGCGUGGGGAGCAAACAGGAUAGAUACCCGAGUAGUC
rnacentral:rRNA from 1 species